CCAAUAGCGUAUAUUAAAGUUGUUGCAGUUAAAAAGCUCGUAGUUGAAUUUCGGGAUCAGUAUGUUGGUCGUGCUUCGGUACGUACUGCCAUUACUGGUUUCUCCCUUCUGAAGAACCUUGAUGUCAUUAAUUUGGUGUCUUGGGGAAUCAGGACUGUUACUUUGAAAAAAUUAGAGUGUUUAAAGCAAGCAUACGCUUGAAUACAUUAGCAUGGAAUAAUGAAAUAGGACGUUUGAUUCUAUUUUGUUGGUUUCUAGGAUCGACGUAAUGAUUAAUAGGGAUAGUUGGGGGCAUUAGUAUUCAAUUGUCAGAGGUGAAAUUCUUGGAUUUAUUGAAGACUAACUACUGCGAAAGCAUUUGCCAAGGAUGUUUUCAUUAAUCAAGAACGAAAGUUAGGGGAUCGAAGACGAUCAGAUACCGUCGUAGUCUUAACCAUAAACUAUGCCGACUAGGGAUCGGAUGAUGCUAUUUUUAAUGACUCAUUCGGCGCCUUACG
rnacentral:rRNA from 1 species